rnacentral:rRNA from 1 species
GACGAACGCUGGCGGCGUGCUUAACACAUGCAAGUCGAACGGAAAGGCCUGCUUUCCCUUGUGGAUUGCGGGUACUCGAGUGGCGAACGGGUGAGUAACACGUGAGUGAUCUGCCCCCAACUUGGGUAUAAGCCUGGGAAACUGGGUCUAAUUCCCGAUAGGACUGCAGGGUGGUGCCUGUGGUGGAAAACGAUUUUCUAGUGGUUGGGGAUGAGCUCGCGGCCUAUCAGCUUGUUGGUGGGGUAAUGGCCUACCAAGGCGGCGACGGGUAGCCGGCCUGAGAGGGUGGACGGCCACAUUGGGACUGAGAUACGGCCCAGACUCCUACGGGAGGCAGCAGUGGGGAAUAUUGCACAAUGGGCGGAAGCCUUAUGCAGCGACGCCGCGUGGGGGAUGACGGCCUUCGGGUUGUAAACUCCUUUCGACCGCGAGGAAGCCACCUGGUUGGAAGGGUGGUGACGGUAGUGGUAGAAGAAGCACCGGCUAACUACGUG